CCCGCCAGCUACACAGGGGCCUGCGAGGGGGAGAGGCGCUGAGGGGUUCCAGCCAAGGGAUGGGCGGAGGAGGGAAUAAGAUGGACAGGCAGAUGAGGGGCUGUAGUCAGGGGCCAGGUGGUGGUGGAAGAGCCAGGAGGGGGACAGAUGCUGGGGGGUUGUAGCCAGGGGACAGGCAGAGGUGGGAGUUGUAGCCAGGAGGUGGGAGGGACAGGCGGAGGCGGGGAUUGUAGCCAGGGGACAGGCAGAGACGGAAGUUGUAGCCAGGGGACAGGCGGAGGCAGGAGACAUGUGGAGUUGGGGUUGUGGCCAGGGGACAGGUGGAGGUGGGGGUUGUAGCCAGGGGACAGGCGGAGGCGGGGGACAGGCGGAGGCAGGGGACAGGCGGAGGCAGUGGUUGUAGCCAGGGGACAGGCGGAGGCAGGGGACAGGCGGAGGCGGUGGUUGUAGCCAGGGGACAGGCGGUGGUGGGGGUUGUAGCCAGGGGACAGGCGGAGGCGGUGGUUGUAGCCAGGGGACAGGCGGAGGCAGGGGACAGGCGGCGGUGGGGGUUGUGGCCAGGGGACAGGCGGAGGCAGGGGACAGGCGGCGGCGGUGGUUGUAGCCAGGGGACAGGCGGAGGCAGGGGACAGGCGGAGGUGGGGGUUGUGGCCAGGGGACAGGCGGAGGCAGGGGACAGGCGGAGGUGGGGGUUGUGGCCAGGGGACAGGCGGAGCAGGGGACAGGCGGCGGUGGGGGUUGUGGCCAGGGGACAGGCGGAGGCAGGGGACAGGCGGAGGCAGGGGACAGGCGGCGGUUGGGGUUGUAGUCAGGGGAC